CCUACGGGAGGCAGCAGUGAGGAAUAUUGGUCAAUGGGCGCGAGCCUGAACCAGCCAAGUCGCGUGAGGGAUGACGGUCCUACGGAUUGUAAACCUCUUUUGCCGGGGAGCAAGCGUGCGUUCGUGAACGCGCGUCGAGAGUACCCGGAGAAAAAGCAUCGGCUAACUCCGUGCCAGCAGCCGCGGUAAUACGGAGGAUGCGAGCGUUAUCCGGAUUUAUUGGGUUUAAAGGGUGCGUAGGCGGGAUGCCAAGUCAGCGGUAAAAAUGCGGUGCUCAACGCCGUCGAGCCGUUGAAACUGGCGUUCUUGAGUGGGCGAGAAGUAUGCGGAAUGCGUGGUGUAGCGGUGAAAUGCGUAGAUAUAUGGAAGAACACCAGUGGCGAAGGCGGCCGCCUGGCCUGUUACUGACGCUGAGGCACGAAAGCGUGGGGAGCAAAUAGGAUUAGAUACCCUUGUAGUC
rnacentral:rRNA from 1 species